UACGAAGGGGGCUAGCGUUGUUCGGAAUUACUGGGCGUAAAGCGCAUGUAGGCGGAUAUUUAAGUCAGGGGUGAAAUCCCGCAGCUCAACUGCGGAACUGCCUUUGAUACUGGGUAUCUUGAGUAUGGAAGAGGUGAGUGGAAUUCCGAGUGUAGAGGUGAAAUUCGUAGAUAUUCGGAGGAACACCAGUGGCGAAGGCG
rnacentral:rRNA from 1 species